AGGUUAAGUUAGGAAGGGCGCACGGUGGAUGCCUUGGCACUAGGAGCCGAAGAAGGACGGGACUAACACCGAUAUGCUUUGGGGAGCUGUACGUAAGCGUUGAUCCAGAGAUUUCCGAAUGGGGGAACCCACUAUCUUUAGUCGGAUAGUAUCCUUAUGUGAAUACAUAGCAUAAGGAAGGCAGA
rnacentral:rRNA from 1 species